GACGGAGGGGGCUAGCGUUGUUCGGAAUCACUGGGCGUAAAGGGCGCGUAGGCGGCUUUGCAAGUCAGAUGUGAAAUCCCGGGGCUUAACCCCGGAGCUGCAUUUGAAACUGCAUGGCUAGAGUCUCGGAGAGGAUGGUGGAAUUCUGAGUGUAGAGGUGAAAUUCGUAGAUAUUCAGAGGAACACCGAUGGCGAAGGCAGCCAUCUGGACGAGUACUGACGCUGAGGCGCGAAAGCGUGGGGAGCAAACAGG
rnacentral:rRNA from 1 species